GAUUAACGCUGGCGGCGUGCAUAACACAUGCAAGUCGAACGAUGAAACUUAAAUGAUUUCUUCGGAAUGAACUUAAGUGGAUUAGUGGCGGACGGGUGAGUAACGCGUGAGUAACCUGCCUUACACAAGGGGAUAGCCGUUGGAAACGACGAAUAAUACCCUAUGAUGUUUCUAUCUCGCAUGAGAUAUUAACCAACGUGUUAGCGGUGUAAGAUGGACUUGCGUCUGAUUAGCUAGUUGGUGAGAAAAAAGCCCACCAAGGCAACGAUCAGUAGCCGGCUUGAGAGAGUGUACGGCCACAUUGGGACUGAGACACGGCCCAGACUCCUACGGGAGGCAGCAGUGGGGAAUUUUGCACAAUGGGGGAAACCCUGAUGCAGCGACGCCGCGUGAUUUAGAAGGCCUUCGGGUUGUAAAAAUCUUUUGUAUAGGAAGAAAAUGACAGUACUAUACGAAUAAGGUCCGGCUAAUUACGUG
rnacentral:rRNA from 1 species